rnacentral:rRNA from 1 species
CCCCCCCGGCCCCCCCCCGGGCGGGGCGGGGGCACGGGGGGAACGCGAAGAACCUUACCAGGUCUUGACAUCCUUUGACCACUCUAGAGAUAGAGCUUUCCCUUCGGGGGCAAAGUGACAGGUGGUGCAUGGUUGUCGUCAGCUCGUGUCGUGAGAUGUUGGGUUAAGUCCCGCAACGAGCGCAACCCUUAUUGUUAGUUGCCAGCAUUCAGUUGGGCACUCUGGCAAGACUGCCGGUGACAAACCGGAGGAAGGUGGGGAUGACGUCAAAUCAUCAUGCCCCUUAUGACCUGGGCUACACACGUGCUACAAUGGGAAGUACAACGAGUUGCGAAGUCGCGAGGCUAAGCUAAUCUCUUAAAGCUUCUCUCAGUUCGGAUUGCUAGGCUGCAACUCGCCUGACAUGAAGCUCUGGAAUCGCUAGUAAUCGCGGAUCAGCACGCCGUCGUCCC